rnacentral:pre_miRNA from 14 species
UCAACGAUCUAAUCCGCAUUGAACACGGGUUUCGUCAGCAGCGGGCUGUAACUAACUUUUAACCAAGUUCGUUGUCGACGAAACCUGCAUACUGUGUGGGAAAAACAACAA